UCGGGAAUUUUGGGCAAUGGGCGAAAGCCUGACCCAGCAACGCCGCGUGAGGGAUGAAGUAUUUCGGUAUGUAAACCCCGAAAGAAUGGGAAGAAUAAAUGACGGUACCAUUUAUAAGCUCCGGCUAACUACGUGCCAGCAGCCGCGGUAAUACGUAGGGAGCAAGCGUUGUUCGGAUUUACUGGGCGUAAAGGGCGCGUAGGCGGCGCGGUAAGUCACUUGUGAAAUCUCUGAGCUUAACUCAGAACGGCCAAGUGAUACUGCUGUGCUAGAGUGCGGAAGAGGCAACCGGAAUUCUUGGUGUAGCGGUGAAAUGCGUAGAUAUCAAGAGGAACACCUGAGGCGAAGGCGGGUUGCUGGGCCGACACUGACGCUGAUGCGCGAAAGCCAGGGGAGCAAAC
rnacentral:rRNA from 1 species